UACAGAGGUCUCAAGCGUUGUUCGGAUUCAUUGGGCGUAAAGGGUGCGUAGGCGGUGCCGUAAGUCGGAUGUGAAAUCCCGGGGCUUAACCCCGGAACUGCAUUCGAUACUGCGGUGCUCGAGGACUGGAGAGGAGACUGGAAUUUACGGUGUAGCGGUGAAAUGCGUAGAUAUCGUAAGGAAGACCAGUGGCGAAGGCGGGUCUCUGGACAGUUCCUGACGCUGAGGCACGAAGGUCAGGGGAGCAAACGGG
rnacentral:rRNA from 1 species